AAAAGAUACUAUGUUAAAGAGGAACCACGUCUCUCACACCAUACACAGGGAUAAUACACCCAAACUCAUCAAUACAAUGCCUUUGAAUAGGACUUGGCCUUCCUCAGAGAAUAUUCAUUUUCUACAUGGUGCUGCUCUUUUCAAAAUUCUUCUAUGAUUCCAUAUACACCAAAACAGGCAUUCCCUAUUAAAUCUUCCUACCUUCAGUGUCAUGCUUCUAUGUUGUUUUGGAUCAUGGUCAAUCAACUCAUCUGAAUUUUCUGCCAAAUGCUUUGGGCUGAAUGGAAAAAACACACCUUACUGUGGUUUCUGUUUCCUGCCUGGACCCUGACUGAUACAGGUACCAGGCUAGUUGGUUUCUGGUACUAUUUCUCAUCAAUAAGACUGGGAGCUCCCAGAGCAGCUGCAAAGAAGCUCAUUUCCAUCACCAGGAAGCCAACAGCAAUUACUGUGUCAGUACUACCAACAAAUCUGGUCUCAUGCAUUCUUCCAACCAAUGUGAAUCCAAGUGAAUAAAGCCUCCAGAAAAAUUAACCUCUGAAAAAGCAUCUCAGCUAAUCUCCAAGGCCAAAGACAGAGGAGGAAGAGGAGAGUUAACACUUAACUAAGCAACUACUAUGGAAGAGGCAUCAUACUCUUGGCUUUAUACCAUCAUUCAAUCUCACUUUUAUAAUAGCCCUUUGUGAUGGGCAUUUCAACCCAAAAUUCUACAGAGAAAAAAAGUGAAGCAUUUAAAAGUAAAGUAACUUGCCCAAUAUCUUGUACUUAGUAAGUAGGAUAGUUAGAUUUAAAAUUCAAUUUUCUUACGGGAAAUGGCAUUUCCAUUAAAACCUUGAAGUCUCUUCAGUGCAGCAUUUCUAAGGGCCAAAAGAGAAUUCAACAGGGCAUCUUUGAAUGAAAAAGGAUAUCAGUCAAAUCAAUUUACGUAGCACAUCAGUGUUUAAUAUCAUAUAAAUUGUGAAGGUGGAAUCUUUAAGAACUCUCAAAGGGUAGGCAUUCCACAUUGUAUUUUACAUAAGCAGAUAUUUUCCCCCUGAUUACUUUAGGUUAUUUUUUAUUGAAAUACUUGGCAACAUUUUGCUUUAUGUUGUUUUAAAGCAUUCUGUGCUGACAAGUGGUGAGCUCAGAAAAUUCAGUCCAUUUUUCCCAAACCUAUGAAAGUAAUAUUGUGCAUGAUUACUUUGGUAGUCCCUAUGAUUAUGACCACACAUUUAAAGUUGAUGUUCCACUACGAUUACCCAAACCAAGACUAUUAACUUAAAACACACAUCUGAAGAUCGAAAUGUAUCUUCUCAAUUGAGAAAAACAACAAAAAGAAAUAGUGCAUAUAUUUUUUGAAAAGAAAACAAUGUUUUAAGUUAUUAAGGGAAAUCAUCGGAAUUGUAUUGUCUUUUGCAUGGAAAUAAACUUUGUCAUUGUUUAGAAUAGAAGGACAAAAGUAGCUAAAAUAAUUUAUGUUUCAAGUCUAACCAUGCUAACAUUUCAAACAGAAAUUUGAAUAUCUAGGUCCCCAAUUCCAAUAUCUUACUCAUAAUGGGAAUUGUUUAAACAUUUGAACGAAAUAAGUGUCAUUUGCCUUGUUGAGAUAGAUAUUUCUAAUAUGAUCAAAAACUGAUGUUAAAAUUAAAUCCCUAUCCUGAGGCAAUAGCGUAGAGACCAAGUCUACUUGGUGCUUUGGUUCAUAUAAAGGUCAUUGUGAUAAAAAUCUCAAUGACAUGCAAUAAAAAAAUUCACAUUGUCUAUGUUGGGUGAGGAAAGUAAAGGCACAACUGUAGUUGUGAAGCUUAACUGAGGUUGGCGAGGACUAUUUCCACUGAAACAAACAGCUUUUUAUAUAAAAAUACUGUUAAUGGUUACCGUAGAUAAUUUGAUUAAGAAAUUGGGGAGGUAGAUAAAUUUUUUCUUUUUAUAUUAUAUUAUUCUGUGCUUAAACUUUAAUGAAAGUGCUGGAACUUUUAUCAUGGGUAUGCAUUUCUUUGUUAAUGGAAGAAGUAAUUACUUAAAAAUUAUUUUAAAAUAAGAAGCAAAAAUGACUUCUAAAAAGUCACAUAAUUUUUUAAAAUAAUUUUCAUUACAGAGAGGUAAUCCAAUGCCAGGACACAUGUGCUCCCUGGGAUAAAACUGAAAUAUCUACAAAAACAAAAUAAGAAGAAGCCAUUUUAAUGCCUAGAGGAAGAAAAUACAGAAUAUGUGGACUGUGUGUGACCUUUGAGUAAGCCAGUGAUGCUCCAAGUACCCAUUCACAAUGAGAUCAGGAACCUGUGAUGGAAUAGAAACUAACACACUACUUUCUUCUAUGAGCAAGUCUUGCUACCAAAAUAAAUAAACAAAUACAUAAAUCAGAUGAAUUGAAAAGCAUGCUUAAUGGCUAAAUUAAUUUACAUCCUGAUGCAAACUGGUUGCAAACAGUUGGCCAACCAGAGACCACACUAUGGGUAGCACUGAAAUCCGCAUACACCAAAAAUAAAUGGAAGGAGGAAGGUUUACAGAGUGAGUCAGUCAGGGUUCAAUGUAGGAAACAGAACUCACUGUAGACAUUUAAAGCAGAAAAAGAUUUAAAACAGAGAAUUUAGUGCAGACAGAAAUGGUGGAAGGAAGAAUAAUGUGCAACAAGUCCAGAAGCCGCCACUUAGCCAAUUUGAAGAACUUCCAUCAUAACUACAAUCCAGAGAUCAGAGAGUUAGAAUUGCUGUCACGACCACCACUACCUUUUAACAUUUAUGGAUCUAGUGACUAGACAGAGGAACACUGAGUCUGGUCAAUUCAAUGGCUUCUAAAUCUUCAUGAGCUUGCUUGCCAGCUGAAAAUGACCUCCACCUCUGCCCUCCCUAUAUGCCCAUAUUUGUUUGGUACAUCUCCUUAAAGGGUAUUCAUUGGGAUCCACACCUUUGGGUUGAAAUAAGUUCUGCUUUGUGUAUGUUCAUUCUGGAGUCCAGAAUGAAAAAGUGGUGGCUGUUCAUGGAAUGUCCGAGUCGUGGUGAUGAAGCCAAACACAAGCACAUAUAAGGCUCCUGCUCACAUCAUAUCUUCUAGCAUCUCAAUGUCCAAUGCAAGUCACAUGGCAAAGCCCAUUUUCAAAGAUCUACAUUCUAUCCCCAAUAGAAAAGCACGGUAAUACUACACAGCAAAUGGUAUCAAUAUACUGUCACAGGAAAUGAAGAAUUGGUACCAAUAUCCCAAUCUUCAACAACUUUCAAAGUCUUUUUCAAUGCUACAGUUUCAUAUUCUAUAAUUCUCUGAUACAUAUUCAUAACAAUGUAUGAACUCCCUCAAUACCUAGUUAUCCACUUUCUGUCCUCCAUCAACUCCCCCAAAAGACCAUAGAUAACCAAUCUCUACCAAACUUAUCCAUUUUUAGCCCCUUCAAUCUCAAAGGAAGUGCUGUUACUCUCUCUAACCAUGGCCCAUUCCCAGGCUGUGUUCUAAAAUUUCCCCCAAAGUCUCAGAGACUUUAAUUCUACUCUAUUACUUCUUUUCUCCUAAAUCUUCACCCUGGCUUCUUUCCCAAUCAAACAUCUAUAACAAAUGCUACAAUCAAACAUGUGACCUUUGAUCUUAAAAAUAAAUGGUCUCCUAUGACAUUACAUCUCCCUUAGCAAGCCUCUUCUUCCUCAUAUUCACUUUUCCUAAAAGGGUAUAUUUAUUCACAACUUCUAUUUCCUCUUCUUUCACUUAUUCUGCAGCACUCUGAAAUCUGGCCAAAAACAACAACAAGAAGUCAUAUUUGCCAAGUUUACUGCUUAUCAUCAGAGGGUUUGGUGAGGCACGAUGAACAGCACGCUCUUUCCCUGAUUUCUGCAUCAAAAGAGAAAGAAAAAAAAAGAAUGAAGCUUUCUCUAUUAGUCUGUUUGCAUGGCUAUAAAGGAAUAUCUGAGGCUGGGAAGUUUAUAAAGAAAGGGGGUUUAUUUGGCUAGCGGUUCUGCAGGCUGUACAAGAAGCAUAGUGCCGGCAUCUGCUUCUGCUGAAGUCCUUGGGAAGCUUACAAUCAUAGUAGAAGGUGAAGAGAAAUCAACGUGUCACAUGAUGAGAAAGGAAGCAAGGGAGAGAAAAGGAGGUGCCAGACUCCUUUAAACAACCAGCUUUUGUGUGAACUACCAGAGCUGAACUGCCAGAGCAGGAACUCAGUCAUUACUAUGGGGAUGGCAAUGAAGACAUUCAUGAAGGAUACACUUCCAUGACCCAAACGCCUACCACUAGGCCUACCUCCCACACUAGAGCUCACAUUUCAACAUGAGAUUUGGAGAGAAAACAUCCAAACCAUAUUACCAACACUGAAGAAAUGUGGCUUAGAUGUGAGAGCCAAAUGAGCUUAUUAACUCUCUACACUCUUGGAUCCAAG
ensembl:lncRNA